CCAUUUUCAGAAAGCAUUAAGCAUCCUGAAAUCUGUACCUUGGAGAGCUUAGCCCAAUUAGGACUAUGUUUAUAAAGCAAUUUGGGCUACACAGAGAUUGAUUUACUCAAAAAGGGAAUUCAAAAGUGCCUUGACACUUGUCUCCCGUGGAUAUGAGCAUCUGUUCUGAAGUGUAACUGUACUCUCAUAACAAUUCCAAGGGUAAUAACUGCAUUUCCUGAAUAGAGCAAAUCCAGGUCCUUCUGUGCGUCCUGUAGGAUUGUCAGCUUUCCCUAAAUACACAAUUAAUUCUGCCAGUAACAGUAGCAGACACUUAUAUGCCCACACAGGGAGUUGUGUUACAUAUGACUUGCCACUGCAUUUAUUUUUCAGUGUUUUAAAUGAGGACAGGGGGAGGUAAAGCAGCUCACUGGACUGAAUGACCCGUCCUGUAUUCCAGGUGCACUUGUGAUGAUUAGUGCCAAAAAACAGGCAGCAGAAGGAGGCCCUUUUAUAGUCAGCUAAUAGAAAGUCCCUGGUCUAAGCAUGAAGAAGACAGUCUAGAUUUGAAAACAAGGAGCUGAGUUUUACUUCCUCUUUUCUUCAACUAAAAUGUGCCGUCUGAACCAAUCUACAAGCUGGGUCAGCCUUUAAGUUGAACAGGGUUUGACUGAGAGCCUGCAGUUAUGUUCAGUUUAGUGAAGAGUUGUACUGGGAGGCAUUAUGUAUUCAGGGUUCUGGUACAGGAUGACUCCACAUGGCAUUUCUGAAAUGCUGAUAGCCACAGGUGGGAAGGUCCCCUGAUUUUCUCCAGGAGCUGCAGGAUACUCAGGCAGAAAUGGACACAGGAAUUGCUACCAGUGAGAAAAAGCUCUGCUCAAAGGAAAAGGUGAAUCUGAAGCACAUUUCCUUUAAGGAUGUCUCGUUAGAUAGAAUAUAUCUUGAAGUGGAGUUACUGAUUUCUAUCCAGAAAUUCAAACAUCAUACACUAGUCUGAAAUGUAUGAAUGACUUUGCUUUGUUUUGUUUUUCAUUGAAUUAAACCCUUGAGCAUUGUUGUUGUUGUUGUUGUGUGUGGAACUUUUUGUUUUGUUGUUGAUGUUUGAGGGGGAUGGAGUUCUUUGGUUGUUUUCUUCUUUUUUACUUUAAGCUAUAUUAGAGGAAAAGAAGGUAUUGAUUGGAUCUGGCAGGUGGUAAAGCAAUUUACCAAGAGUGCAAUCUCUUCCAGUCCGGUCACUUUCAGUUUUUGUAUUAUUAAAGUAUUAAUAAUUUGCUCUGUGACUGGCACUUGGGGAGAGAGAAACAUGGAGUGCAAUGAAAUACUCUACUUUUUGGGAGGCACGUGAAAGAAGAAAAGCGAUUUAGUAAUGCUUUCUCUAUGGCACGUGUAUGAACUUGAGCACCUUGGAUAUGUUCUUUAGAAGUGCUGUAAGCAUCUCUAGAAAAUUACUCCCACUGAAAUCACACAGGAACAGCAUGUAAACCACAUGGACUAGGAGAUAAAAUAUACAAGAAAAAUAAUAGAAAAAACAUCUAAGUAUGCAAGAGGCUUAAUUCAGAAUUAGUUUUUGAAUGGUAACACUGCUGGAAAACAAGGAGGGGGGGGCACAGACUGCUGUCUCUAGAUUUUCAUUACAAGUAGAAAUUGUAGAAAACAGCCUUUUGGAAUUGAUACUAACAGAGAGCAUCUGUGUUAACUGCACUGUUAAAAUCAUACAGACAAAAGUAAUUCUGAAUUAUGAACAUUUGUAACUGCGUGUUUCUAUCUGAGACAGCAGCACUUUGUUGAAACACAGAAACUGAUUUUAGGUGCAUUAACCUGAGUAGCUGAAGCACCGUAGUAAUGACAGCAAGGAAUUUAGUGGGGUGUUUUCAAGUUUACUGAAAUGUUAGUAAAGCCAUGACAAGGAGACAAUCCUAAAAGCAGCAGGAGAUUUUAUGUACAAAGAUCAUUGAAUCAUGAAGAGCAGAAGACAGCAUGACAGUGUUUGGGGAUUUGCUCUAGAGUUUUGGGCUUAAGUCAGAUUGCAGUUGAGACAACUGAAAUGCAAUUUCUCAAGGCCAAAAGCAGCAAGAGAACAGUAAAACUAUGUGUUGCUUCUAACAAAGUUCCCUGAUAUCCCCAAGGAAAAAAUCAUAUUUUCUCAAUAUUUUCUUGACAUGUACUCUGCAGUAAUGCUAUACGAAUAAAACAGUCGCAUAGCAAACGCAGAUUUGCUUAUGGUACACUGGAAGGCAAGAACUGACAAAAUGCAAAUCCCCACAAAGAUAAAUCCCCACAAAGAUUUUUCACUUAACUGUUGACGUGUGUCACUUUCAUUUAUUUUAUAUUCCAUUUAUAUUCUUCGCCCAACCAGUCCUGCUGAGAUGGUGGAUGGACUCAGCUCCUGCUCAGCUGUUGUGAGCAAUCACUCUGGCUGCAGGGGAGAAGUAAGACUCCGUAAGCACCUGCCACAAAAGAAUAGGUGUAAACUUACCACUGAACAAGACAAAACUACUGUGCUACAUGGCUUUGACUACCAUUCACACUGAGCAGAACUCUUCUAAUCUGCAAAUACUGCAAAAUAAAAAGGUAACUUUGCAGUAUUUGUAUGCUUCUUGAAAUGACGCUGCUUCUGGAAUUCCUUGUUUAUCACAUCCCACAGACUGCCAAGCCAAAUCUGCCCUACUUUGAAAUAAAUCAUAAAUUCAAAUUGUUUCAAUCCAGUCCUGAAAACCUCCCCAGGAAUCUAACAGUCCAGGUGGCUGGCUGCGUCAAUAGGAGAGACUUCAAAGAUCUGAAGUUAGAACUGAAUGAGCAGAACAACAGGCGCCAGUUAACCCAGACAGACCCCAUCCUUCCUCCGCCAAAUGACAGUGGAGGGAGGGGGGAUGGGAAAGGCAGCAAGUUGUUGCAAAAGGAUUGUAAUCAUUGGAGACUGCAGAUUUGAUUCUGAAUGGAUCAACGGGCUUUGAUUAAGCAUCAGGAUGCUUUUCCUCUCUCUUGCUCUUUUCUCCAUUUUUCAGUGCAGAAGAAACCCUUGGGUCCAGUACCAAACCCUAAUGAAGACUACCAUCAAUUCAAUAAGCUCAGUAUGACACUUUCUUAAUGACUUUAUGCCCUUCGUCAUAAUGCAGCCACAAAACGAAGUGAUAUUCUGAGUGCAGCAAGAAGAUUAAUUCCAACUCUGCGUGCUAAGAGAAAAAUCCACGGCUCUGUCAUUGUGUAAACAAAAAAUGUAAAUAAAGGAAAAAUUAAGAUGUUU
rnacentral:lncRNA from 1 species